GCCAGACUCCUACGGGAGGCAGCAGUGGGGGAUAUUGCACAAUGGGGGGAACCCUGAUGCAGCGACGCCGCGUGGGUGAAGGAGCGUUUCGGCGCGUAAAGCCCUAUCGGCAGGGAAGAAGGAGGACGGUACCUGACUAAGAAGCCCCGGCUAACUACGUGCCAGCAGCCGCGGUAAUACGUAGGGGGCAAGCGUUAUCCGGAUUUACUGGGUGUAAAGGGGGCGCAGACGGCAGCGCAAGCCAGGAGUGAAAGCCCGGGGCCCAACCCCGGGACUGCUCUUGGAACUGCGCGGCUGGAGUGCAGGAGGGGCAGGCGGAAUUCCUGGUGUAGCGGUGAAAUGCGUAGAUAUCAGGAGGAACACCGGUGGCGAAGGCGGCCUGCUGGACUGCGACUGACGUUGAGGCCCGAAAGCGUGGGGAGCAAACAGGAUUAGAUACCCCGGUAGUG
rnacentral:rRNA from 1 species